AACAGGAUUAGAUACCCGGGUAGUCCAUGCCGUAAACGAUGAGUGCUAAGUGUUGGAGGGUUUCCGCCCUUCAGUGCUGCAGCUAACGCAUUAAGCACUCCGCCUGGGGAGUACGACCGCAAGGUUGAAACUCAAAGGAAUUGACGGGGGCCCGCACAAGCGGUGGAGCAUGUGGUUUAAUUCGAUGCUACGCGAAGAACCUUACCAGGUCUUGACAUCUUCUGCCAACCUAAGAGAUUAGGUGUUCCCUUCGGGGACAGAAUGACAGGUGGUGCAUGGUUGUCGUCAGCUCGUGUCGUGAGAUGUUGGGUUAAGUCCCGCAACGAGCGCAACCCUUAUUGUUAGUUGCCAGCAUUUAGUUGGGCACUCUAGCAAGACUGCCGGUGACAAACCGGAGGAAGGUGGGGAUGACGUCAAAUCAUCAUGCCCCUUAUGACCUGGGCUACACACGUGCUACAAUGGACGGUACAACGAGUCGCGAAACCGCGAGGUCAAGCUAAUCUCUUAAAGUCGUUCUCAGUUCGGAUUGUAGGCUGCAACUCGCCUACAUGAAGUUGGAAUCGCUAGUAAUCGUGGAUCAGCAUGCCACGGUGAAUACGUUCCCGGGCCUUGUACACACCGCCCGUCACACCAUGAGAGUUUGUAACACCCAAAGCCGGUGAGGUAACCUUCGGGGACCAGCCGUCUAAGGUGGGACAGAUGAUUAGGGUGAAGUCGUAACAAGGUAACC
rnacentral:rRNA from 1 species